UUCUUUCCCUUCUUUCUUUUUCUUUCUGUUUCCUUCUCUUUCUUUUCUUCCUUUUUCCUUCUCGCACCAGCAGCACCUUAUUUUUUUUUCCUACGCAUGCAUGCAUGCUUCUCGCACCAGCAGCACCUUAUUUUCUUCCUACGCAUCCAUGCAUGCAUGCAUGCACCUUUUUAUUUUAUUUUCUUUUCUUUCCCUUGGAACCUGGUGCUGGCCGCAUGCACCGCUUAGCUCCGCAUGUAGGCGUCUCUUUCCUUUUUACUGGUCGAGUGCUUGCUUCUCCUUGGCACACGUGCCUACACCUGGCCCUGCCUGGUCCUUGCAUGCAGUGUUGCCUGGCUCCCACAUGCACAACACUUAUCCUCUAUCGCAGCCAGCACUGCACCUGGCGUCGGGCCCUGUGCGCCUGCCCGCUCAGUCACCUCCG
rnacentral:lncRNA from 1 species